rnacentral:misc_RNA from 1 species
GAUGAAGAACGUAGCGAAAUGCGAUAAGUAAUGUGAAUUGCAGAAUUCAGUGAAUCAUCGAAUCUUUGAACGCACAUUGCGCCCGCGAGUAUUCUCGCGGGCAUGCCUGUCCGAGCGUCAUUUCAACCCUCAGGGCCCGCCUGCUUCGGCAGGCGCGGCGCUGGUGUUGGGGAUCGGCCUAACCGCCGUCCCCCAAAUACAGUGGCGGUCUCGCUGCAGCCUCCCCUGCGUAGUAGCAACACUCGCAUGCGGAGCGCGGCGCGGCCACGCCGUAAAACCCCCGACUUUCUGAACGUUGACCUCGGAUCAGGUAGGAAUUCCCGCUGAACUUAAGCAUAUCAAUAAGCGGAGGA